UAAGUAAGCGGAGGAAAAGAAACUAACUAGGAUUCCCUUAGUAAUGGCGAAUGAACAGGGAUCAGCUCAGUGCCAAAUCGGAAUCACUUGUGGUUCUGAAAUGUGGCUUGAAGGCAGUACCAGUGGCAUCGCGGACGAAAGUCUCUUGGAAAAGAGCGUCAUAGAGGGUGAGAAUCCCGUGAGUCGUUCGCCGUUUGUCACGUACGGUCUGCGUUCUAACGAGUCGCGUUCCUUGGGAUUGGAGCGUAAACGGGUGGUAAAUUUCAUCCAAAGCAAAAUAUAUACUCGAGACCGAUAGCACAAAAGUACCGUGAGGGAAAGGUGAAAAGAACUUUGAGAAGAGGGUUAAAUAGUGCCUGAAAUCGUUGAGAAGGAAGCGGAUGCCGCCGUUGCAUAUGCUGAUUGUAGGAUUGCUGCUCGCUCCUGUCUUCUGCUACUCAUUCACAGACCUGGUCGUGUUGAGCAGUUGUUUGGCAGAUGUUAGUGGUGUUUCCUACUUUCAGUCGUCAGCAUCACUGGCUGAGUGGAAAUAAUCCUUGGAUGCUAAUUGGUUCGCUAUCUGUGAAUUGGUUGCUUCCUUGCGAUACUCACUACUCGGUCAGUGAGGAAGUGCGUUUGCUGGUCAACGAGCUUUCUAACUGUCAUUACCCUGCGCUUUUCGAUUCGUCGAGUGGCCAGGAUGUGGCUUUGAGAUUGUUCGCACUUAGUAAUCGCGAUGCUGGCUUCCAACGGUUGCCUCCGGCCCGUCUUGAAACACGGACCAAGGAGUCUAACGUAUGUGCGAGUGUGUGAGUGGCAAACUUAUACGCGUAAUGAAAGUGAGGCCGUAUGGCCAUGUUGGGGUCACCAACAACCGACCUUGAUCUUCGGUGAAAGGUUUGAGUAUGAGCAUAUCCGUUAGGACCCGAAAGAUGGUGAACUAUGCCUGAGCAGGGUGAAGCCAGGGGAAACUCUGGUGGAGGCUCGUAGCGAUA
rnacentral:rRNA from 1 species